UGUAAGCGUAUACCAAAGUUGUUGCAGUUAAAACGCUCGUAGUCGGAAUUUGGCAGUUCCGGAUGUGUGCACGUCGUGUGCGCACUUCGCGGGGAUUGCUUUUGUGGUCUUGCGUAGGAUGAGGCACUUUUAUUAGUGAACGUCCUCACGCAACCACUUUUUACUGUGAGAAAAUCAGAGUGCUCAAAGCUGGCAUUUGCCGUGAAUGUAUUAGCAUGGAAUAAUAGAAUAGGACUUGGUUCUAUUUUGUUGGUUUGCACGCCAAAGUAAUGAUUAAUAGGGAUAGUUGGGGGUAUUCGUAUCCUAUUGCUAGAGGUGAAAUUCUUAAAUUUAUGGAAGACGAACUACUGCGAAAGCACUUACCAAGGAUGUUUUCAUUAA
rnacentral:rRNA from 1 species